GUACAAAAGAUUAAAAUUUAAAACAUUUUUUCUAAGACAAAACAUAAUGUGCAUUGACUGCAAACAAUAGUCUGUUUGGUAGUGUGUGAAGCCUGUUGCUUAUAUGGGUUGCCCAAAGAGACCUGGGAGACAGCA
ensembl:snoRNA SNORA70 Small nucleolar RNA SNORA70